rnacentral:lncRNA from 10 species
AUGAGCCUCAGUGGCGCUGGCUGCAGAGACCGUGAUCACUCACUUUGGCUUCUUGGAACCGCCCUAGCACAGGGCUGUGGGCUCCCUCACCUGGCCUGGCCCUCGGGCUACCCCUGCCACUGCCUUGAUGGGAGAAGCCGCUGGAUGGGCAGCCUCACGUGUGCUGGAAGAAGUCCUGGCCUGGAGCCCACAGGCCUGUCCCACACCUGUUCCAGGAAGCCUGCCUGGACUGCCCUCCAUCCGGAGUCUCCGACGUCUCCGUGCCUGUUCUGGUGAGGUCGUUCCAUGCUGGAACCUCUCUGGCUUUUGCAGAGAAGCUCUGAGGUCCUCUGGCUGACUUGCGUUCAUCCUGAAAACAUUAGGCUCCGGGUGGCCCAGUCUGUGUGCCGGAGUGUGGCGUGGAGGCUGGAGGCUCGCCCUGCUGUCAGCUGACCUGGGCUGGCGCCUGGGGGGCCCCUGGAACUGGUGACUUGGGGGGCUUGUAGGGGUGGCUAUCUCCCCGCUUUGGGUUGAUGUGAGUCACACACACGGUGCACGGGUGUGUGAGCCAGCCCCAGUCAACGAAGCUGUUAGGACUUUUGUAUUUAUUUUGGACAAUCACCAGGGGGGCCAGGGUGACUGCAGCAGAGUGGGCUGGGAGGGCAGAGAGCAGAAAGGGCCGGGUGAGGACUUGCCUCUUCCUGUAAGAUAGUGUGUCCUGAGCGUGGCCACCAGGCCUCCCUCACUGUCCCUAGGGUGAAGUCUAGCUCCUCUGCUGACCCCUGUGGAGUCCCAUGACUCCUCCAAAAGGCUCGAUUCCCACAGCCUCCCCUGGCUGGAGCAGCCCAAGCCGUGCAGGCUUGCGGAUCCCACGGGAUGUAGGGGCUCUGGGGUUGCCCCGGAAUCUUCCGAGAGUAGCCUCCUGGGUGCUCCAUCGUGGUGGGCUUCCCCAGAGAGUGCCUCACGUUUGGGGGCGAGGAGGGCACUUGCUGAAUGAAGGCCAAAAUGGGGCAGAAAAAUGCCCGUGCUGUGCAGAGCUGGCAUCUAAGGCCAUGCUGGCCCAUGAGCAUCUUCCUGUGUCCUGACAGCGGAACCCGGAGGCAGAGGGCUUGCCUGCCACUCUCACUCUGAGACUCUUCGAGAAUGAGCUUGGUGACCCUCCAGGCCCUGGCCCCGAUGGAACCUCCCUGGAGGGGGCUAUUGGCUGAUGUACUUGCCCCCGCUGAGACCUGGGCCUGCUGAAGAUGAGCCCCCAGCCCCAGGAGAGCCAGGAACGAUGCUAAAGCUUCCUGAUUCGUGACCCUGGCUAAGCAAAUGUAACGGCCCCAUUGACUCGCAGCCAUUGGAGAACUGAGCUUAAGAAUCUUUUGGCGGUCUGGAAACUUGGAAAAAGAAAGGGGCAACGUAUCCCACUUGAGCCAAGGCCAUACUUUCCCGGCUGCUCAGAAGACAUUUCUCUGUCUCCCCUGCUCUUCCCCAUCUUGAAUGUGGAUGUCCUGGCUGGGAACACAGCAGCCAACUCGUGAGUGUGGGUAACAAGCAGGGACAAAAGACCACCAGAGUCACAGAGACGCAGCUGCGGUGACACCGAGGUGACGAUUUUGCUGAACUUGCUCUUAACGACUUUGCAAGCAUCUCCCUCCCUCCGGUUUUCAGUGACGUUGUCCUUGCUUGCUUCCGAGUCCUCUCUGGCAGUGAUCUUUUUCAAAAUUAUUAUUAUUAUUAUUUUUGAGAUGAAGUCUCAUUCUGUUGCCCUGGCUGGAGUGCAGUGGCGUGAUCUCAGCUCACUGCAACCUCUGCCUACUGGGUUCAAGUGAUUCUCCUGCCUCAGCCUCCCCGUCAGCUGGGAUUACAGGUGUGCACCACCACGCCUGGCUGCCUCCUGGGUUCAAAUGAUUCUCCUGCCUCAGCCUCCCCAUCAGCUGGGAUUACAGGUGUGCGCCACCACGCCUGGCUGCCUCCUGGGUUCAAGUGAUUCUCCUGCCUCAGCCUCCCCGUCAGCUGGGAUUACAGGUGUGCGCCACCACGCCUGGCUGCCUCCUGGGUUCAAGUGAUUCUCCUGCCUCAGCCUCCCCGUCAGCUGGGAUUACAGGUGUGCGCCACCACGCCUGGCUGCCUCCUGGGUUCAAGUGAUUCUCCUGCCUCAGCCUCCCCGUCAGCUGGGAUUACAGGUGUGCGCCACCACGCCUGGCUGCCUCCUGGGUUCAAGUGAUUCUCCUGCCUCAGCCUCCCCGUCAGCUGGGAUUACAGGUGUGCGCCACCACGUCUGGCUGCCUCCUGGGUUCAAGUGAUUCUCCUGCCUCAGCCUCCCCGUCAGCUGGGAUUACAGGCUGUUGGCCGGAGGUCAUCUCAGCUCCUAGCUGGGUAUUAGCUGGAGGCUGUCCUCAGUCCAGUGCCGUGGGCCUCCCCAGCUUGGCUGCGUGUGGCAGCAAAUCCAGCCAGGCGGUCCUCAGCAAGAGAGACAUCACAAUCUCACAGGUGAUCCACUCGGCUCUCUUCUCUUCUGCGUCCUGCUCUAUGGCCUGGGAAGCUGAUCUCCAAGGAUCGCAUUCCUAGGGCUCUCUGGCCCAUGGGCUUCCCGUUGGGUUUGCCCAAUGGACAGCCAUGGCAGAAGAUCAAAGGGAAGAUGGCAGGAAGCUGUCCCCCACUCCUCGCCUGGCUGAGUUCUGGCGAUGGCUGCCAUCCAGGGUCCUGAGUCCCACCAGUUUUUACCCCUUGAAGUGAGAAAGAACACGUCUACAACCCUCCCUCAUUCCAGAGGCUGUGUUUUUGCCCUUUGGUCAUGCAGAUGGGGCUAAAGCGAAGUUACAACAUUGGAAAAUGUCUUCUUAACGUCACACUGAUCUCCUUAAGGCAACGAGCCCCACAUGCUCUCUGAGGCCUGUGCACGUGUUCUGAGGACCCAGUUAUGUGCUGCGUGAUUCCAGAGGUGAACAGACCCUCACAGAUCACCUCUCCUCACCCUCUCAUGAGAGGGAAACUGAGGCUCAGGGGGAGAAUUGGCAAAGGUUACACUUGGUGGUGGGUUUGGAAUCUGCCCUGUGGACGCCCGACUAACCAUUUCUGCCAGAUGCGCGUGGGAAGUAAAAUGGGAAGAGGUGCUCCAUAGGAGGAGGGGACGUGGGUACAGUCACGUGGACCCGUGAGCCGGUCACCUGCGAGGCACCAGGGCCUACAGGAAAGGUGCCCGCUGUCGGCUUCCGCAGGGAAUUUCGUUAUCUUUGUGAGGUAGGGUGGAACUUGCAUCCUGAACAUUAAAGUUUACAUGCCAAGGAGGGCGGUGGAGUCCUUGGAACUUCCUGCCUCCCCCUGAGGCUGCCUCCCCAUGCGAUUGACCUGGUCUGGCUGGGCCUGAUGCUGGGCUCAAAGAGAACACAGGUCUCACCCUCCUAUGUGGCGUGUGGUGAAGACUAAGGAGGUCCCCAGGACCCUGAGGGUUGCCCUUGGGUGCAUUGGAGUAGAGGCCAGGGAAGUCCAUGUCCUUUCCGAGCCAGGCCUUGCCGCCGAGGUACAGCCACAGUGUCCCCCUUCCAGCUGCAGAGCCGCUGCUUCCUCAUCUGUCAGGUGGGAACAACGACCCCCACUCUGUGCACCUCACUGGCAGUAGCGAGCACGAAGUGUGAGGGUGGACUCUGCAAGGUGGAAGCCAUGUCCCUGCAGGUUGCAUCUGUGCUGCCUGCCCUGCUGAGGGACGGGAACAGCAGCAUAGCCUUCGGUACCACGUACCUUGUUUGUCAAAACUGGACCUGCCACAGCGCGGUGGCCCUUCUCCUGGGGAAACACACUGUGCCCCAGGAGGUGUGUGGACAAACACCUUCACAGCACUGAUGCUGAGACAGCCAGAGCCCAGAAACGCCCAGCCGCCCCCGGUAGGAAAAUGAAUAAGUAAAUUGGGGCAAUUGGAGAUUGUGAUGUCUCUCUUGCUGAAGACCACCUGGCUGGAUUUGCUGGGGUGGGACCCAGACCGGGACGUUUUCAUACACACAAAACGGGCUGUGCCAGGUGGCCUUCUCCAGGGCACGGUGGGUGGGGGAGUCUCAGGCUGCCACGUGCCUGGCAGGCUUGGGACGAGGUGAAGGGAGGUGAGUGUUCGUGGGGAUGCUGGGACCCCAUUCGGGCCAGGUCAAUCACAUGGGGAGAUACAGUAUCAACAGUAAAGGAUCUUUAGAUAUGUAAACACACAGAUAAGUGGCCGGUGUAAUGUGCAGAAAAUGCUAAACAACAGAAUGCAAUAAUACAAAGUUCCAAAGCAGGCAACCCUAAACUCCAUGUUC